AGGAAAAAAAAUAAAAGUGAGGAAACACGAAAAGUGACUAAUAAAACUGAGUGGGAUCUUCUUUUUUGGCUUCUUCUUCUUCUAUUUUUCUUGU
rnacentral:ribozyme from 13 species